UACGUAGGUGGCAAGCGUUAUCCGGAAUUAUUGGGCGUAAAGCGCGCGCAGGCGGUCGUUCAAGUCGCGUGUGAAAGCCCCCGGCUCAACUGGGGAGGGUCACGCGAUACUGAUCGACUCGAAGGCAGGAGAGGGUAGUGGAAUUCCCGGUGUAGUGGUGAAAUGCGUAGAUAUCGGGAGGAACACCAGUGGCGAAGGCGACUACCUGGCCUGUUCUUGACGCUGAGGCGCGAAAGCUAGGGGAGCAAACGGG
rnacentral:rRNA from 1 species